AAGCUACAUGUACUGGAGAUAUUUUUCAUGAUUUUUAAGCAAGGUUUUAGGGAUGCUAACCUUUCAGGCAGGGUAUCAUGACUUUCCCUCAGUUGAUGAGAUCUGGCAUC
rnacentral:lncRNA from 1 species